rnacentral:lncRNA from 1 species
UUUUUUGGUAGAGGGAAUUCGAGAGCAAGGCUAUCUCAUGAUACGUGCGCAAGAAGUAACAUCCAAUUCACUUUUUCUUGAGAUGGAUGAGUCAUAUGGUACUAUCAGCCAAUACACUUCCUUUCCAUCCAAAUGAUAUGUAAUUCAUAGGAGGAAUGAGUUUAGGGCUACCAAAACAAUGCAAAGUACUUUCGAACUGUAUGACGGUGGAGGCCUGUCGGAAGAACAUGCUUUUGGUAGGACUUAAAGUGAAAAUUCUGAUUACCGGAGAGGUUUCACAUAUUUCUUGGGUUUUUCUUGCAAUAGGAUUUUGACGGGUAUAUUGUAGCCAAGCCAGGAACAAUAUAGACUAGCUCAUGGAUAUUUGUACCGCUAGGUAUAUUCAAGACAAGAAGUAUAUGCAAGCCACUACAACCGCUAGAUCAGGUUAGUGAUAUGAAUUUUCUUUAAUUUUUGCUUUUGUUUGCUUGCUUUGCUCGCCAUGGAUAUUGCCAUCUUUACUAAAACUAUUAAGAAAGUAUAACAUAUUGCUGUAUUAAUAAUUAUAAUCGUAUAUUGACCAAGCAUGAUAAUCCAUCAGAUGAUUUGCUUCAUAUCAGAAAAAAUUAUGCUUCAGUAAUUCUUAUUCGUUUUGCAGGCAUCUCUUUGAUUGGUUAUCCGCAUUCUACUAAAGGCAAGCUCCUCUGUUUCUUCUUUCAUCACAACCGAAGUGUGUCGGUUGAUGUUGCAUGAGAGGAAGUUCCUUUGUGUUGUCUAAUGGCAUCAUGUGACUUGUCUUGUCCAUUGUAAAAAAAUUGUAAAUUGGAUGUCACUUCUUACACAGGUGUGCUAAAGUUGCCUUGCUCUUGCAUUCUCUUAGAUAAUUUGAUUCAGCUUGCUACCUGAAUUAAAUUUUUCGGUAGAGGAAAUUCGAGAGCUAGGAUACCUCAUGAUACGUGCAGAAGAAGUAACAUCCAAUUCACUUUUUCUUGAGAUGGAUGAGUCAUAUGGUACCAUUAGCCACAUGAUUCGUGCAUAAGAAGUAACAUCCAAUUCACUAUUUCUUGAGAUUGAUAAGUCAUAUGGUACCAUCAUCCAAUACACUUCCUUUCCAUCCAAAGCAUAUAUAAUUCAUAGGAGGAAUGAGCUUAGGCCUUCGAAAACAAUGCAAAGUACUUUGGAACUGUAUGACGGUGGAGGCCUGUCGGAAGAACAUGCUUUUGGUAGGACUUAAAGUGAAAAUUCUGAUUAC